UACGGAGGGGGCUAGCGUUGUUCGGAAUUACUGGGCGUAAAGCGCACGUAGGCGGCUUUGUAAGUUAGAGGUGAAAGCCCGGGGCUCAACCCCGGAAUUGCCUUUAAGACUGCAUCGCUAGAAUUGUGGAGAGGUAAGUGGAAUUCCGAGUGUAGAGGUGAAAUUCGUAGAUAUUCGGAAGAACACCAGUGGCGAAGGCGACUUACUGGACACAUAUUGACGUGAGGUGCGGAAAAGCGUGGGGGAGCAAACAGG
rnacentral:rRNA from 1 species